CAUUUUUUCAAGAGGAACCUGCAGAGGGCUAUGAAUCCAGUGUCACUUGAUUCUACUCAAUGGCUACCUUUGAGAUGUCAGGCUGGUCGCCUGAGUCAUGCAGUGUGCUGCUCCAGUUCCUACAGAUGCCGUGCCUCUUCCAGCAAACUCUGCUGCCCCCACAGAGCUCAAGAUCCUGCCUAUGAGUCACCACCAAGGGUUGGAGGCCUGUGUGACCUCCCAGGUGGUCCAGCUGCCUCUCCAGGAAGCUGUGCCAGAAAAGGCCUGCCAGGAACCAGCGGGCUGCCCUCCAAGGUUAAAAAUUUCCACAGACCAGUCAAAACCUUUUGGUGGCCGAGCGCAGUGGCUCACACCUAUAAUCCCGGCACUUUGGGAGGCCGAGGUGGGUGGAUCACAAGGUCAAGAGAUUGAGACCAUCCUGGCCAACAUGGUGAAACCCCGUCUCUACUAAAAAUACAAAAAUUAGCUGGGCAUGGUGGUGCGUGCCUGUAGUCCCAGAUACUCAGGAGGCUGAGGCACGAGAAUCACUUGAACCUGGGAGGUGGAGGUUGCAGUGAGCCAAGAUCACGCCAUUGCACUCCAGCCCGGGCAACAGAGCAAGAUACAGUCUCAAAAAAAAACAACAAAAAAACUAAAAAACAAAAAAA
rnacentral:lncRNA from 1 species